AACGAACGCUGGCGGCAUGCCUAACACAUGCAAGUCGAACGACACCUUCGUGUCUAGUUGCUCACGGGUGCGUAACGCGUCGGACCCUGCCCUUAGGUUCGGAAUACCUCCCCGUAAGGGGUGCUAAUACCGGAUAAUUUCUUCGGACCAAAGAUUUAUCGCCUUUGGAUGGGCGCGCGUUGUACUAGCCGGUGGGUAGAGUAAAAGCCUACCACGGCUUCGCUCCAUAGCUGGGCAGUGAGGAUGAGCAGCCACACUGGGACUGAGACACAGCCCAGAAUACUAGAGGAGGGGGCAGAGGGGAAUAUAGGACAAUGGGGGAAGGGCUGAUCCAGUAAUGCCGCGUGAGUGAUGAAGGCGGUAGGGAUGAAAAGCUCUUUUACCCGGGAUGAUAAUGACAGUACCGGGAGAAUAAGCACCGGCUAACUCCGUG
rnacentral:rRNA from 1 species